UACGAAGGGGGCUAGCGUUGUUCGGAAUUACUGGGCGUAAAGCGCGCGCAGGCGGUUCUUUAAGUCAGGGGUGAAAUCCUGGAGCUCAACUCCAGAACUGCCUUUGAUACUGAAGAUCUUGAGUCCGGGAGAGGUGAGUGGAACUGCGAGUGUAGAGGUGAAAUUCGUAGAUAUUCGCAAGAACACCAGUGGCGAAGGCGGCUCACUGGCCCGGUACUGACGCUGAGGCACGAAAGCGUGGGGAGCAAACAGG
rnacentral:rRNA from 1 species